UACGGAGGGUGCGAGCGUUGUCCGGAAUUACUGGGCGUAAAGCGUGCGCAGGCGGUUUUGUAAGUCAGAUGUGAAAUCCCCGGGCUUAACCUGGGAACUGCGUUUGAAACUACAAGGCUAGAGUGUGGCAGAGGGGGGUGGAAUUCCACGUGUAGCAGUGAAAUGCGUAGAGAUGUGGAGGAACACCGAUGGCGAAGGCAGCCCCCUGGGUUAACACUGACGCUCAGGCACGAAAGCGUGGGGAGCAAACAGG
rnacentral:rRNA from 1 species